rnacentral:lncRNA from 1 species
UUCUGUCGUUCUGUUCUUGCUCCUUUUUAUAUACAUACGAAACAAAAAGAGGAAGAGGGGGGAUCUUACCUGUGAGCACGCCGUUGGAGCUCCAUUUACUCCAUCCAAAUCGGAGUUAGACGGAGUUUUGGGUUUUGAGGCGGCGGAGGGUGAGAGAGGUUUAGGUUUCUUUUUUUUUUUUCUGAUAGUUUAAUAAAGCUUUGAAGUAUUCUAUUUUUAGGGUUUUGAAUGGCAUUUAUAUAGGGCAUAAAACAACACCGUUUAGGGCUUGUGUCAAUGGCUCUAAAACGAUGCCGUAUUGGCAUUGGCCUGAUGACCCGACCCGAGCAUGGCUAGGUCCGCGUGUUUUAGUCUCG